ensembl:lncRNA
ACAACAAAAGCAAGAUAUAAUAGUACACAUAUAAAUGUAUGAAGCAUGAUAUAUUGUGGAAACGUGAAGAUUAGAUGGUGUUGACGAAGGAGUUGGGGGCAAUUGCACCAGCAGAUGGAGACUUUUCCCUACCAGCAGUCCCCUGCUGAGUAGACUGUGCCUCAUGAGAGAUGACUAAGAAUCUGAGAACUAAGAAAGGAAGGAAACAAGGAAUAAAUCCUGCCCAUCAAUCAUUGGUCAAUAGUUGUGUUUGUAGUACAUUAGCAUCAAAGCAAACUAAAGUUACUAAAUAUCACAACUAUGGGGCUUUAGUAAAUAUCUGGUUAUAAUGUAUAUACGAUGAGAUCUAGCAGGAAUCUCUUCAGAGUGCCACCAAAGAGCCUUGACAUGAGACUUCUACGUUGGCAAUGGACCUGUGGCAGCUGGAUUCCACAGCAAAUCUAUUGGAAUCAAUUGUACUGCUUCAAAGGUUGGUCUUCCUUUUUUUCUCCUUUUACGAUCAGCUUCUACUGUAUCUCCCCCAGGGAGUACUCUACUACUCUGUGACAGACAGAGUAGUGUGUUUGACUGCUGGGUGGAGGAGAAUCCCCACCCUGAGGUUUAAAACAUCAUGGUAGUGUACAGUUCCAACUUCCCCCACAAGACUUAGUAAAACCUUGCUUUUUUGUUUCAGAUUGAACCAAAUACAGCAUCCAGCAUAGGUCGGAAUGCUGAAAUGGUGCAUAGGCAGUUUACGCACAGGAAGGUAGAUGGACAGAUAGGUGGACAUUCUGGUACAUGGACAGGUAGGUAGGUGUACUGGUAUGUGGACUUACAGGGAGGUAGGUGGACUUGUAAGUAGGAAGACAGGUAAGUGGACAUGCGGGUAGGUAGACAGGUAAGUAGUCAGACAGGUAUGCAGCUGGACAGGUGGCCCGAUACCAUCCCUGCUGCACUGAUUUGCCUUUAGACUAGCAGUCUUAGCAGCGAAUUAUGCUGAGCCACGGCCAAAAAUCAAUGGAGUAGGUCCGCAACUGUGACUUAGGGACCAAAGUCAAUCCGUGACAACAAAAAUUAGUGCAUGUUACAUACAACUUCCAAAGGAAAGGAAACUUUACUGGGACAAGGCUCUAGCACAGGAUUAAAUGUGUAGACACCUUCAGCGAAUGCAGCUGAGAAUCCUAAAAUACUGCAACUCUCAAUUCAUGUCCAAUACCAACUUUCAGUGCCAAUGCAGGAGUAAUGUGUCCUUGGUAAAGUAAGGGUAGAAAGAAGUCCCCUGUGAGAUCCCAGAAAUUUGUUCAACAGCCAAUAGCAGGGCUAACACAGAGACAUACAACCAUUCACACACCUACAGGCAAUUUAAAGUCCCGAAUUAUGGGCGGAGUCGAACCCAGGACCUUUUUGCUGUGAGGCAACAGUGCUAACCACCACGCCACCGUACCGCCCUCUCCAAAAAAAUCAUUCAUUUUAAAAUAAUGGUUACUCCUCCUAAAUCCCAAUCCCUCUUCUAAACUGACUAAUUGUCAGGGUUGGGUAGGAAGGCAGGACUCAAAUGCAGAGUUUGCAGGAAACAAAAAGGACUUUAAUAGUCAUCAACUCCAACACAAAGCAAAAGGCCAACGGGCAAAAACACACACAGGAACUGGGGGCAAAAACACACACAGGAACCACGACGAUAGACAGGGACAUCCAUGACAAGAGACACACGGCUUAAAUACACUAGGGAGGUGCAGGUGAUUGGACACAGGUGGAAACUAUCAGACGAUCACAGGGGAUGACAGGACAAGGCAGGAAGUGAAGUUACCCGGGGACACGAGUGGCAGAAAACUGCAAAAUAUGACAGGAAGUGAACCACACCGUAACACUAAUGUGUGUAAUAAAAUGUGCAGUGGACUGAGAACUAAACAAUUAUCUGGAAGAUGAUGAAAGAGCAAUGGCAAAACAGAAUACCUUU